rnacentral:rRNA from 1 species
GACGAACCGCCCGAACGUUGUUCGGAAUCACUGGGCUUAAAGGGCGCGUAGGCGGGCCGGCAAGUCAGGGGUGAAAGCCCCCAGCUCAACUGGGGAAGUGCCUUUGAUACUGCCGGGCUUGAGGGAGGUAGGGGCGUGCGGAACUUCCGGUGGAGCGGUGAAAUGCGUAGAUAUCGGAAGGAACACCGGUGGCGAAAGCGGCGCGCUGGACCUCUUCUGACGCUGAGGCGCGAAAGCCAGGGGAG